GAUUCUUAUUGCUUUCUUUGAUUAUGUUUCUAAUCUUUUUAUCAUCUCUUUAGGAUUUAUUAAUAUCUGAUCAAUCCUCGUUGAUCUUAUAAUGAUCAACCCUAGUUGUUGAUAUUCUAUUGCGUCGAUUUUGCGAUUGAUCAAUCCAUUGAAGUACGUUGUUUGUUAUCUACGCAUAUAUAUAUCUUAUUCCUUCUUGUUGAUCAACAAGCAGAAGUCCGUGUAUAUCUUCUAAUGAAAGAAGGAAUGAUCUUGUAGAUGUCUGUGUUAUUUUCAUGUAAGUUUUGUUGCUUUUCUUUUAUAUGACUAUCUUUUAAAUCUCCUUAUCUAACCGAUGAUCUUCUUGUUAUGGUUUGGCUUGUCGUGUUCUUAUCCGGGAGUGACGUUGAUCCUUUAGCGCAUAUUUGGGAUGGAUUAAUGUUGAGUUUUCAGGCCUGUCCAUCGAGGUAUUACGUAUUAAUAUAGAGGCGCAGCCACGCAGGGACAAAAACACAUCUGAUGAUCAAUUCUCGUUGGUCUUAUUAUCAACUCUCGUUGAUCUUAUUACCUCUUGAUAAUGCUCCAAUCAACUCUUGUUGAUCUCAUAUAUCAUCUCUUGAUGAUGCUCCAAUCAACUCUAGUUGAUCUGAUCAUAUCAUCUCUUGAUGAUCCUCCAAUCAACCCUCGUUGAUCUUGUUAUCAUCUCUUGAUAAUGCUCCUAUCAACCAUCGUUGAUCUUGUUAUCAACUCUCGUUGAUCUUGUUAUCAUCUCUUAAUAAUGCUCCAGUCAACCAUCGUUGAUCUUGUUAUCAUCUAUUGAUAAUGCUCCUAUCAACUCUCGUUGAUCUUGUUAUCAUCUAUUGAUAAUGCUUUAUCAACUCUCGUUGAUCUUGUUAUCAUCUCUUGAUAAUGCUCCAGUCAACCAUCGUUGAUCUUGUUAUCAUCUAUUGAUAAUGCUCCUAUCAACCAUCGUUGAUCUUAUAUAUCAUCUCCCGAUGAUUCCUCUCAUCAAGUCUCGUUGAGAAAAAAAGGAAUAAGACUUAACACUUGCAGAGGUUUUUGUUGAUCUUUCCAACUGACCACAGAUGUAAAAGAGAGAGUAAGGAAGGGAGUUAUCUGACUUUUGCCAUGACAGGUGGCUUGCUUGGUAGGUCUUUAUUUUUGAACAAACCUUCGGGAGAGAAGUGUGAUGGGAAGGAUUGCAAGAGUUAGUUAGGCCUUUUAUGUUGCAAGGGCAGAGCAACAAAGUUCGUGAAAGUGGGAAAUAUAGAUUUUUUUUUUUUUUGUAUCUUGUAUUCUUGUGGGUGAUGAGUAGAUUGAAACUACUUGUGCAGGAUCAUGAUGGUUGUCCGUUUAAUCUAGAAACGUAACUCUUAUUGGCUACAAACAUCUAGAACUUGUAGACUAAUCACAUCA